CAAGAGAUAGUUUAGGUUCCAGAAUUCUGGCUUUGGAGGCCAGGGGCAAGGGUGAAAAUCCCUUUUUCUUGAC
rnacentral:tRNA from 1 species